AAUGAACGCUGGCGGCAGGCCUAACACAUGCAAGUCGAACGCCCCGCAAGGGGAGUGGCGCACGGGUGAGUAACGCGUGGGAAUAUGCCCUUCGGUUCGGAAUAACACAGGGAAACUUGUGCUAAUACCGGAUACGGUCUACGGACGAAAGAUUUAUCGCCGAGGGAGUAGCCCGCGUAGGAUUAGCUAGUUGGUGAGGUAAUGGCUCACCAAGGCGACGAUCCUUAGCUGGUCUGAGAGGAUGAUCAGCCACACUGGGACUGAGACACGGCCCAGACUCCUACGGGAGGCAGCAGUGGGGAAUAUUGGACAAUGGGCGAAAGCCUGAUCCAGCCAUGCCGCGUGAGUGAUGAAGGCCUUAGGGUUGUAAAGCUCUUUCGCCGGGGAAGAUAAUGACGGUACCCGGAAAAGAAGCCUCGGCUAACUCCGUGC
rnacentral:rRNA from 1 species